rnacentral:rRNA from 1 species
GAUGAACGCUGGCGGCGUGCUUAACACAUGCAAGUCGAACGGAAAGGCCCACUCUUGCUUGGGUACUCGAGUGGCGAACGGGGGAGUAACACGUGGGUGACCUGCCCUGCACUUCGGGAUAAGCCUGGGAAACUGGGUCUAAUACCGGAUAUGACCGCUUCGUAGGUGUUGUGGUGGAAAGUUUUUUCGGUGUGGGAUGAGCUCUCGGCCUAUCAGCUGGUUGGUGGGGGAAUGGUCUACGAAGGCGUCCGCGGGUAGCCGGCCUGAGUGGGCGUGCGGCCACAUUGGGACUGCGAUACGGGCCAGACUCCUACGGGAGGCAGCAGUGGGGAGUAUUGCACAGUGGGCGGGAGCCUGAUGCAGCGACGCCGCGUGGGGGAUGACGGCCUUCGGGUUGUAAGCUCCUUUCGCGAAAGAAGAAUUUAGGACGGUAUUUGGAGAAGAAGCACCGGCUAACUACGUG